AAUGUAGUUCAGUGGCUGACAGCUGUCCUUAUUAGCCAACAACAUUAGAAGGGUCUGGGAUUCCUUUAAAAGGAGCAACCAAACAUCUGGCAAAUAUAGUAAAAGGGAUAUUCUGGUAGGAUGUAUGCCUACCAUUAGUGCUGAAUACUGGUGAGGUUUUGAGGGCAAAAUGGCUGUGAUGAUUGGAAUCGCUUUCAGGUAUGUUUUUAAGUAUUGAUUUAGUUUGUUUCCCUUGUCCUUCAGGUGUUACAGGUAUCUAUGUUUAUAACAUACAUUCUCUUUCCUCAAGCGUUUCUUGGCUUUGUUGCCUGCUAAUUGGAGGGAUAACGUGUUCUACAUCAGAAGGUGAUUGGUCUCCUGCACUGGAUUCUAAUGCAGCAUGGCUUGACGCAGGAUCACUUCGGUCUCUAGGAUAUAGCAAUUAUAAGUCUCCAAAAUCUCAAAUGCAAGCGCAACAGAAACAUCCGGCCGCCAUCCUGCGGAAGGACUUGGCCCCCAUGUCCCAGCAACCUCAGCAAGUGUGGUAUCCAGUUCAAAUGCCCCUGCAACCAGCCGCAGAAGCUCAGCCGCAGAGGCAACCGACAACUGUGCCCCAGCAGGUGUGGCAUCAAGCUCACAUGCUGACGCAACCAUCGACUGCCGUGCCCCAGCAAGUGUGGCAUCAAGCUCACAUGUUGACGCAUAAGCAACCGACUGCCGUGCCCCAGCAAGUGUGGCAUCAAGCUCACAUGCUGAUGCAUAAGCAACCGACCGCCGUGCCCCAGCAAGUGUGGCAUCCAGCUCAAAUUCCCCUGCAGCAGAAGCAACCGACCGCUGUGCCCCAGCAAGUUUGGCAUCCUAAUCAAAUGCUGCAGAAGCAACCGACCGCCUUGCCUCAGCAAGUGUGGCAUCCUGCUCAAAUUACCCUGCAGCAGAAGCAACCGACCGCUGUGCCCCAGCAAGUAUGGCAUCCUUCUAAAAUGCCCCUGCAAACAACCGCUGUGCCCCA
rnacentral:lncRNA from 13 species